UACGAGGGGGGCGAGCGUUGUUCGGAAUUAUUGGGCGUAAAGGGUGCGUAGGCGGUUUGGUAAGUCUCGUGUGAAAUCUACAGGCUCAACUUGUAGUCUGCACGAGAAACUGCCGGGCUUGAGUAUGGGAGAGGUGAGUGGAAUUCCUGGUGUAGCGGUGAAAUGCGUAGAUAUCAGGAGGAACACCUGUGGCGAAAGCGGCUCACUGGACCAUAACUGACGCUGAUGCACGAAAGUUAGGGGAGCGAACAGG
rnacentral:rRNA from 1 species